GUGAGGGGAUGACUGGUGACAGAGUGAGGGAGGGAGUGGGUGACCAGUGACAGAGGGAGGGAGGUGGUGACUAGUGACAGAGGUGGUGACUGUCACUAGUCACUAGUCACCAUCUCCCUCACUCUGUCCCUAGUCACCCCUCCCUCUGUCACUAGUUACCCCUUCCCUCCCUAACUCUGUCACUAGUCACCCCAUCCCUCACUAGUCACACCCUCCCUCACUCUGUCACUAGUCACCCCCUCCCUCACUAGUCACACCCUCCCUCACUCUGUCACUAGUCACACCCUCCCUCAC
rnacentral:sRNA from 1 species